rnacentral:rRNA from 1 species
CCUACGGGUGGCUGCAGUCGAGAAUCAUUCACAAUGGGGGAAACCCUGAUGGUGCGACGCCGCGUGGGGGAAUGAAGGUCUUCGGAUUGUAAACCCCUGUCAUGUGGGAGCAAAUUAAAAAGAUAGUACCACAAGAGGACGAGACGGAUAACUAUGUGCAAGCAGCCGCGGUAAUACAGAGGUCUCAAGCGUCGUUCGGAAUCACUGGGCGUAAGGCGUGCGGAGGCUGUUUCGUAAGUCGUGUGUGAAAGGCGCGAGCUCCACCCGCGGACGGAACAUGAUACUGCGAGACUAGAGUAAUGGAGGGGGAACCGGAAUUCUCGGUGUAGCAGUGAAAUGCGUAGAUAUCGAGAGGAACACUCGUGGCGAAGGCGGGUUCCUGGACAUUAACUGACGCUGAGGCACGAAGGCCAGGGGAGCGAAAGGGAUUAGAUACCCGAGUAGUC